GCCCCUGUGGCCUAAUGGAUAAGGCAUCGGUCUCCUACACCGGGGAUUGUGGGUUCGAGUCCCACCAGGGGUA
rnacentral:tRNA from 1 species